rnacentral:rRNA from 2 species
AAGCUGAAUAGUGGAUAGCUCGGUUCGAGAAGCCGAUGAAGGACGUGGUAAGCUGCGAUAAGCUUAGGCGAGGUGCAUGCAGCCUUAGAGCCUAAGAUUUCCUAAUGCGACUUCGCGGCCUGUUUCGACAGGUCAGCACGAGAGUGCAGGUAACGCGGUGAAUUGAAACAUCUUAGUAACCGUAGGAAAAGAAACCAAUUAUGGGAUUCCCCCAGUAGUGGCGAACGAAAAGGGAAUAGCACAAACCGAACGGCCUUCCGAGAGGAUUGCCGGAUGUGGUUCGUUCAACCAUUAGAACCAAGCGGACAAGUCAAACUCUUCUGGAAAGAAGGGCCAUAGAGAGUGAUAGCCUCGUAGACUGACUCCGCACCGUUCACAGGUUGAGCAAGAGUAACAUGGGUUGGAAAUCCUGUGUGAAUAUGGGAGGCACAUUCUUCCAAUGCUAAAUACUUCUCGAGUCCGAUAGCGUACUAAGUACCGUGAGGGAAAGCUGAAAAGUACCCCUAGAAAGGGGGUGACAAGAGCUUCAAACUAUUCAGUAAUAGGCUAGAUAUGGCGUGCAAGCGUUGAUACAGACUAAAGAACCGGCCGAGAGGCCCUAGUAUGAUCUCUGUGGAGCGACGUCAUAUCAUCCGUUUUGAAAAACGGGGCAGGGAGUUUGUCUCCGUGGCGAGACUAAUUCGUUUUACGCGAUGAAGUCGUAGCGAAAGCAAGAAGUCCGCAGCGCUUUGCGUGAGGGACCUCGUGUUAACGCGCGAGAAGUCACCGAGACAUGAUCCGAAACUGGUCGAUCCUGGCCUGGUCCGGCUGAAGCGGCGCGAAAGCUCCGUGGAAGGCCUCAUCGGUGCUGUGUUACAAGCGCUCGAGUGAACUGGGUCAAGGGGUGAAAUGUCAAUCGAGAUCAGUGAUGGCUGGUUCCAUUCGAAAUGAAUCGAAGUUCAGCCUCAAGCGAGACGGUCUAAGAGGUAAAGCUACUGAUUCUGGGUUUCUGGACGCGAGUCCAGGCCCGGAGUCAAACUCUGAACUCUUAGACGUUGUAGACCUUGGGAGUGAGGGGCGGUGCGUAAGGUACCGUUCCUAGAGGGAAACAACCCAGAGCAUGGUUAAGGUCCCAUAAUUUUUGACUAAGUGUCAUCGAGGAUGUCUUGGUUCUCAGACAGCGGGGAGGUUAGCUUAGAAGCAGCUACCCUUUAAAGAUAGCGUAACAGCUCACCCGUUGAGAGCCGAGGCGCCGUAAAUGGACGGGGCUUAAGUCAAGAACCGAUACCAUGCCCAGUGAAAUAAUCUGGGGUAGAAUGGCGGUCUGCAUGGACAGAAGCUUGGAAGUGAUUUCAAGUGGACCGUGUAGACACGAGAAUCCUGCCGGCAGUAUCAACAUUAAGAACAGUGCGAAUCUGUUCCACCGUAAGAGUAAGGGUUCCUCUGCAAUGAUUAUCAGCAGAGGGUUAGUCGGUCCUAAGCCGGUCCGUAAAUCGAGACUGGCGAAUAGGGAAACAGGUUAAUAUUCCUGUACCUAACCACACUAACUGACGUUUCGGGAUAACAGAAUCUGCGUCACCGCGCAGUCUAAGCAGUUAAUACGGGCGAGCGUAAUGCUUCGACCCUGUGAAUCUGUGAAUGGCCUGGGAAAAAUCCCGGGUUUCUGUGAUUCCUGGAACCCAUGAAAAGGAGUGGAAGACCGUACCCAGAACCAGCACAGGUACUCUGGCUGAGUAGGCUAAGGUGUUCGGGCAUAACGAAGCUUAGGGAAUUCGGCAAAUUGGCCCCGUACCUUCGGUACAUGGGGUGCCUAUCUACUAGAUUAGAUAGGUUUCAAUGACUCGAGGAGCUCGACUGUUUACUAAAAACAUAGCCGACUGCUAGUCCGAAAGGAUUUGUAUAGUCGGCGACUCUUGCCCAGUGCCAGCACCUGAAACCUCCGUACAAGGAGAGGAAGGGCUGGUAAACGGCGGCGGUAACUAUGACCGUCUUAAGGUAGCGUAGUCCCUUGCCAAUUAAUUGUUGGCCCGCAUCAAUAGAGUAACGAGGCUCCUACUG